AUCGAGUGUGUUGUUCAUUUAAACUCUUUUUCAAAUUUAACACAAUACUAUUGAUCAAAUAAGUUUCAUUCUGAGCAGAAGUGUUGUAAAACUUUGACGAAAAUUAGUUGCCUGGGAUUUCGAUACUUUUUCCUUCGGUAGAAACACAACCAGACAGAAACAGAGUUUGUAAUUAAUUACAACACACAUAAAACUGCAGCAAUGGAGUGGAUAAGACUGUAGUAGACAGUUAUAAGCUUAACUAACAUGUAUAGUGAGGAUUUAGUUACGAAGGCAAAACAAAUUUUCAAGGGCUAUUUGUAUGCUGCACUUCGAUGCCACGGUCAAGUUUUGGAAGAUAUUACAAAGACGUAGUUUGCAAUAAUACUCGUUUAGCGAAUUUAACUGCAAAAUAUUAUAUUUUGUUCAAUUUUUGUAAUGUUGUGAAUUUGGCCAUUUAUUAAAUAUGUUAUUAAAUCCUAAAUUACUGUGCUCAAUCUUUAAAGUUAUUUAAUGGAAGACAAUGACGUUGUAUGAUAUAGUUAAUAAAAGUUUUAAUGCCACGUGAGUUCAGAGGUUUGAAAUAUUUUGCAUUAUGUGUCUCUCGUUACAAUAAUGUAUUUUCUGUUUUCGCUAUAUUUAUGCAUGUUUGUGUACAUUUAUUUGUGUUUAUGUCGAUAAAUUGUAUUAUGCAUAUGACUAAUAAAGGUUUUGUUAUAUCAUUUA